rnacentral:rRNA from 1 species
GACGAACGCUGGCGGCGUGCUUAACACAUGCAAGUCGAACGGAAAGGCCCUGCUUUUGUGGGGUUCUCGAGUGGCGAACGGGUGAGUAACACGUGUGUAACCUGCACUUGACUUUGGGAUAACUUCAGGAAACUGGGGCUAAUACCGGAUAGGAGCUCCUGCUGCAUGUUGGGGGUUGGAAAGUUUCGGCGGUUGGGGCUGGACUCGCGGCUUAUCAGCUUGUUGGUGGGGUAGUGGCUUACCAAGGCUUUGACGGGUAGCCUGCCUGAGAGGGUGACCGGCCACAUUGGGACUGAGAGACGGACCAGACUCCUACGGGAGGCAGCAGGGGGGAGUAUUGCACAAUGGGCGGAAGCCUGAUGCAGCGACGCCGCGUGCGGGAUGACGGCCUUCGGGUUGUAAACCGCUUUCGACUGUGACGUAGCGUGAGUGACGGUAAUGGGUAAAGAAGCACCGGCUAACUACGUG